AGCAUAUCAAUAAGCGGAGGAAAAGAAACCAACAGGGAUUGCCUCAGUAACGGCGAGUGAAGCGGCAACAGCUCAAAUUUGAAAUCUGGCCCUUUCAGGGUCCGAGUUGUAAUUUGUAGAAGAUGCUUCGGGUGUGGCUCCGGUCUAAGUUCCUUGGAACAGGACGUCAUAGAGGGUGAGAAUCCCGUAUGUGACUGGUUGCCUUCGCCCAUGUGAAGCUCUUUCGACGAGUCGAGUUGUUUGGGAAUGCAGCUCAAAAUGGGUGGUAAAUUUCAUCUAAAGCUAAAUAUUGGCCAGAGACCGAUAGCGCACAAGUAGAGUGAUCGAAAGAUGAAAAGCACUUUGGAAAGAGAGUUAAACAGUACGUGAAAUUGUUGAAAGGGAAGCGCUUGCAACCAGACUUGCGCGCUGCUGAUCAUCCAGGGUUCUCCCUGGUGCACUCAGCAGUGCUCAGGCCAGCAUCGGUUUGGGUGGUUGGAUAAAGGCCUUGGGAAUGUAGCUUCUUUCGGGGAGUGUUAUAGCCCUCGGUGCAAUGCAGCCUACCCGGACCGAGGACCGCGCUUCGGCUAGGAUGCUGGCGUAAUGGUUGUAAGCGACCCGU
rnacentral:rRNA from 1 species